rnacentral:rRNA from 1 species
AGGACGAACGCUGGCGGCGUGCCUAACACAUGCAAGUCGAACGGGGAUUUGUUUCGGCAGAAUCCUAGUGGCGAACGGGUGAGUAACGCGUAGGCAACCUGCCCCCCGGAUUGGGACAACACCCCGAAAGGGGUGCUAAUACCGGAUACGAAGAUAGCACCGCAUGGUGUUAUCUUGAAAGAUGGCCUCUAUUUAUAAGCUAUCGCCGGGGGAUGGGCCUGCGUCCGAUUAGCUGGUUGGUGGGGUAACGGCCUACCAAGGCGACGAUCGGUAGCCGGUCUGAGAGGUUGAUCGGCCACAUUGGGACUGAGACACGGCCCAGACUCCUACGGGAGGCAGCAGUGGGGAAUAUUGGGCAAUGGGCGAAAGCCCUGACCCAGCGACGCCGCGUGAAGGAUGAAGGUCUUCGGAUUGUAAACUUCUUUGAUCAGGGAAGAAAGAAAUGACGGUACCUGAAAAACAAGCCACGGCUAACUACGUGCCAGCAGCCGC